UACGUAGGGGGCGAGCGUUGUCCGGAAUCAUUGGGCGUAAAGAGCGUGUAGGCGGCUUGGCAAGUCUGACGUGAAAGCCCGCGGCUCAACCGCGGAUUGUCGUUGGAAACUGCCUCGCUAGAGUCCGGAAGAGGAGAGCGGAAUUCCUGGUGUAGCGGUGGAAUGCGCAGAUAUCAGGAAGAACACCCGUGGCGAAGGCGGCUCACUGGACCGGUACUGACGCUGAUGCGCGAAAGCGUGGGGAGCGAACAGG
rnacentral:rRNA from 1 species